GACGAACGCUGGCGGCGUGCCUAACACAUGCAAGUCGAACGGAACUGUUUUGAAAGAUUUCUUCGGAAUGAAUUUGAUUUAGUUUAGUGGCGGACGGGUGAGUAACGCGUGAGUAACCUGCCUUCAAGAGGGGGAUAACAUUCUGAAAAGAAUGCUAAUACCACAUGAUAUAUCGGAACCACAUGGUUCUGAUAUCAAAGAUUUUAUCGCUUGAAGAUGGACUCGCGUCCGAUUAGUUAGUUGGUGAGGUAACGGCUCACCAAGACCGCGAUCGGUAGCCGGACUGAGAGGUUGAACGGCCACAUUGGGACUGAGACACGGCCCAGACUCCUACGGGAGGCAGCAGUGGGGGAUAUUGCGCAAUGGGGGCAACCCUGACGCAGCAAUGCCGCGUGAAGGAUGAAGGUUUUCGGAUUGUAAACUUC
rnacentral:rRNA from 1 species